AGAGUUUGAUCCUGGCUCAGAAUCAACGCUGGCGGCGCGCUUAACACAUGCAAGUCGCACGAGAAAGGGGCAACCUGAGUAAAGUGGCGCACGGGUGAGUAACACGUGGAUCAUCUACCUUUUAGUGUGGAAUACCCCCGGGAAACUGGGGACAAUACCGCAUAAGCUCGAGAGAGGAAAGCCGAAAGGCGCUGAAAGAG
rnacentral:rRNA from 1 species